rnacentral:rRNA from 1 species
GGAAAUUAACUUCGGUUAAUUUUAGUGGCGGACGGGUGAGUAACACAUGAGAAUUCGCCUUUAGGAGGGGGAUAACGGAUGGAAACAUUCGCUAAAACCCCAUAUGCCCCUGGGUGAAACAGAGGAGAUAAGUAAUACUGACUCUUACCUCUGCCUGAAGAGAAGCUCGCGGCUGAUUAGCUAGUUGGUAGGGUAAAGGCCUACCAAGGCGACGAUCAGUAGCUGGUCUGAGAGGACGAUCAGCCACACUGGAACUGAGACACGGUCCAGACUCCUACGGGAGGCAGCAGUGAGGAAUUUUCUGCAAUGGGCGAAAGCCUGACAGAGCAAUACCGCGUGAGGGAUGAAGACUUACUGAGUUGUAAACCUCGGUACCUUAAGGAAGAAGAUCUGACGGUACUUAAGGUGGAAAGCAUCGGCUAACUCCGUGCCAGCAGCCGCGGUAAGACGGGGGAUGCAAGUGUUAUCCGGAUUUACUGGGCGUAAAGCGUCUGCAGGUGGUUUUCUAAGUCUACUGUUAAAUCUUGAGGCUCAACCUCAAAUCUGCAGUAGAAACUAGAAGACUUGAGUAUAGUAGGGGUAGAGGGAAUUUCCAGUGGAGCGGUGAAAUGCGUAGAUAUUGGAAAGAACACCGAUGGCGAAGGCACUCUACUGGGCUAUUACUGACACUCAGAGACCGAAAGCUAGGGGAGCAAAUGGGAUUAGAUACCCCCAGUAGUCCUAGCCG